GGUCAUAUAUAUCAAAAGGAAAUGUAUAACUACUCCUAUUCCUAUUAUUACCAGCAGUAUUAUACUCAUUCUUUGUUUUUAGAAAAACUUCCCUCGGAAGAAUUGUUUUCCUAAAACACUUCCAGUUCUCUCAUUGCAGAAUGUGGUUGCUUGAUGCAAUAUUCAUUGUUGUUUCAUGUGCUUUUCUGCAGAUGCCUAUUUCUUUCUUUUCUGGAUUGUAUUCACUGUUAGCAUACAUUCAUGUCUUGACCGUUUUAAUCUGUGCUGUAUUUUGUCUGUAGGCGAGUAUCAUUGCC
rnacentral:misc_RNA from 1 species